AAGAUCCGCGCAAAUCCACCUUCAAAGAUCAAGCCCACGGCCCCUUGAAGAAACUUCCAACAGUUCAUCCAAGAUCAAGCCUCGAUGGCCCUUGGAUCAACGAAACAUCCACAAAUCAAUACCUUACGGAGAUCGAAUUAGAGAAUCAAAAUAGAGAGAGAUUGUAACCCAAAAUCAUCAAAUACAAAUAUUAUUUUGUGCACGUUGUUCUUGUCUCUUUCGUUUCAGGAAAUUUUCGUGUUCACAAAUUGGCACGCCCAGUGGGACUAUCUCUACCUCUCAUCUUUUUCUCCGUUCAAGAAAUUUAAGCACACUUCCAAAAUCAAUGGCAUCAAGCAAAGGACAAGCCGUUCUCAUAAAGGGAAGAAGCCUGAGCACUUUCGCCAUGAACGGAGCAUCCAUUGGCGCCACAACCGCUCCUCAACAUGCCACUUCAAAGUUGGUGCCGCUAAAGGAGCAAGGGGAGCAUCAAAGACGCGAGUCCGUCAUCAACCUGACCUCGCUGGGGGCACCGAAGCAUAAUGCUGAGGCACACAAGAUGACUUCCCAAAGUAGCCAACAACGUUCUUCGUCAGCAUCCUGGUUGUUUAAAGGAAAUUCACGUCUAUUGGUUGCACAAGUCAUGACCAUCGGCGUUACCUCCAUCGAAGAACAACUGGCUCAAAUGAAUGAAGCGAUCACAAGGCUAACACGGAUUGUGGAAGAAAAAGACUUGCAAAUCGCUGCACUCGUCAGCCGAUUAGAGCCACAGGACGGCGAGAACCCCAACCCAGAGGAUGAUCCACUAAAGAGAUAAGUUGGCGAAGAAGAUGAGCCUCCGGUGGAGAGAAUCGAUGUGAAACCGGAGCCCGACCAAGCAGCGGCACUCAUGGGAUCUCUUUCUAUCCAACAGCUGCAGGAGAUGAUCACCAACACCAUCAAGGCACAGUACGAAUGGAGCUCACAUACCUUUUUGUUCUACUCGAAGCACUACUCCAAGAAGAUUGAUGCCCUGAAGAUGCCAAUGGGUUAUCAACCACCAAAGUUCAUGCAGUUUGAUGGAAAAGGAAACCCGAAACAGCACGUUGCCCACUUUGUUGAAACUUCCAACAACACAGGGACCGAAGAAGACUACCUUGCCAAGCAGUUUGUGCGCUCGCUGAAAGGAAACGCCUUUGAGUGGUACACAGACCUAGAGCCUGAGUCCAUUAAUAGUUGGGAGCAAUUAGAGCGGGAAUUCGUCAACCGCUUCUAUAGCACCAGCCGCACUGUGAGCAUGCUAGAGCUAACGAUCACAAAGCAAUGGAAAGAUGAGCCGAUCAUUGACUACAUCAACAGAUGGCGCACUCUAAGCCUCGACUGCAAAGACAGGCUCUCGAAGACCUCUUCAAUCGAGAUGUGCAUCCAAGGUAUGCAAUGGGGUUUGCAAUACAUCCUUCAAGGCAUUAAACCACGGACCUUCGAAGAGCUAGCCACCCGCGCCCAUGACAUGGAGUUAAGCAUCGCCUAUCAUGGGAAGAAAGAACCGAUCUCUGACUACAAGAUUGACAAAGUUCUUGACACAAAGGUGGAAAAGGCUGCAUGGAAAUCCACCAAGGAAGCAAUGAGGGCCAACACAACUCCCGUCAAAAUCCCUACACGAGGCAAGGCGAUUCAAACCGAAACUUUUCGUGAUCAAGAGAUGCGUAGACGCACUUUGAAGGAGCUUGAGGAGAAAACUUAUCCAUUCCCUGACUCUGAUGUGGUUGCCAUGCUAGAAGACUUGCUGGAAAAGAAGGUGAUCGGCUUGCCUGAGUGCAGACGACCAGAAGAGAUGAAUCGCACCGACAGUCCAAGGUACUGUAAAUUCCACCGCUUCAUCAGUCAUUCGACAGAAAAGUGCUUCGUGCUGAAAGAUCUCAUCAUGAAGCUAGCUCAGAAAGGAAUCAUCGAGCUAGAUCUUGACGAUGUGGUGAAGUCAAACUAUACCACCGUCACUUCUGGCUUUUUCGACUCAAAGUCUUUACCUCAACCGUCGGGGGCAUCCUCUAAGUCAAGCAAAGUUGAAGGAUGGACUCAAGUCACUCCUAAGAAAUUGCACAAGAAGCAUACAUCUCCUCCACAAGUCCGCCAAUCGGAAAGGGGGCAAAGCAGCUCUUGUCAACCUUCAAAGCAACAUGAACGUGUUGAAGAUGAUGAAAUUUUGACACAUAGAUCGUCCAUCCCCAUCACGAUGCGUGACUUCUUUCCUGAAGACUUCUUCAAUCACUCAGUCAAGGCUCCUUGCUAUGAAGAUUGCGAGGAACGACUCUCCCGGAUCCUUUGACAAACUAACAAGGCUCCUCGCCUGCACGAGCCUAAACUGCAUGGCGCAACGCUCCUGGUCUGCACGAGCAUAAAAGGCAACACCAACGCUCCUGAUUCGCACGAGCAUAAAAGGCAACACUAACGCUCCUGGUCUGCACGAGCAUAAAAGGCAACACCAACACUCCUGGCCCGCAAGAGCAUAAACUGUGUACGGUAAAAUCAUCAUCAAAAUCGCCAAAAGAAAUUCAUCGCUCAUUUGAACUACGUUACGACUUGAUCUCUUCUUUGGAGGGGUACAUAAGCAGCUCGAAUGUUCAAUUUUUCGAGUUCAGUCACAUCAAAAUAAAAGAAUAAAUGUUUUAUUAAAGAAGGUCAAUUUUAUUACAAAUUUAUUUUGUUAAGAAAAUUUGCAAUUUUCUUUGUACAAAAUUAAAUUACAGUUUCUUCGAAAAAAAUGAAUACAUAUGUUAUUAUGUAUUUACAAAAAAAAAAAAAAAAAAAAAGGAAAUAUAUAUAUAUAUGUCUAGGCCCAGCAGCAACAAAAGGCACCAGCCCAGGCCCUGUCAUCUCCUUUUUUGCCCUUAAACCCACCUUCAAUUCUCCUAUACAUUUCACAAUGCAGAAACCACCAUACAGUCACUAAUCUGCGAGCGAACCGGCAGCAGAGAGUCCGAGGCAGCGACUCACCAUCUAUGGCAACCGAGUCUCGUGGCCCGAGUUCUAAAGCCGCGACCUUUAUCCUGGUCCUGGUCCUCUUAGCUACUUUGUACAGCUCGUGCCACGAAGCCGAGUCUCGGAUCCGUCAAGGUCGCGGGCUGUCGGCAGACAAAGGAGGAACAACGGCGGCAAUCAUAGUUAGAUCCAGAACUGCAACGACAUGUUGUCGGAAUCGCAAUGCUCCCGCAACCCUAUGUGCUGGUGGUGCCGCAACGACGUCCUCAACGACAUGUGUUUCCCGAAGCUUGAGGCUUUGCAGUUGCCAAUUCAGGUUUUCACUUGCAAAAUUGACUACUCCCGACUCAGCAUAAAUCAUCACAACAGCGUGAGGACAGACAACAAGAUGCAGAAGCACAUCGGCAUAGCAUAGCAAGCAGCAACGAACAGCAACCACGUCACCAACGCCUGUCUCUCUCUCAGCCACAAACAACAGCAAACAGUCUUCUUCCUCAACUCGCCAUUGACGCCUUGAAAUCACGGCAAAGCAGCAACACCUCGGUUCCCUCGAUGUUUUUCGGGGACUCACGGUUGUGUGAAGUGGCAAGAACAUGCAACAUCACCACUGUUAACCUGCUGCUGCUUCAUCUUGACAAAUUCCUCGCUGCAUAGCUUGGAUUCGUUGGAGUAGCAUCUUCGAGCCGCCUCAUCUAGUGCCAUUGCUACUGCAGUUGAAGAGUGUUAGGGUUUAGAUUAGGUUUGGUCUCGGUUGAGCUGAGUUGCAGUUGUAUCGAGGGGACAAGACUUCGAUUACAUACGAUCUGGUUGAGCAAAUGCACUUAUGGUAUGUGAGUACGGUGAAGGUUUGAGAUGGAGGGGAAAGGUGAUGUCGCUGUCACUGGCGCCGAUGCGGCGGUGAAGGUGGAGAGGCCAGCUGGAGUCGAAGGGCUCGAGAAUGGUGGUUGCGAUGAUUGGAGGUUGACGUCACUCUCUCUCCCGCAGCACCAUGAGCAGCUUCGCAUCCUGGAAACUUCUCGCAAACUUGCCGUCGUCGGAAAAGCAAGCUGACUUCCUCCACGACCAAACAGCCACAACCUUACUGGUGCAUGCUCCAUCUCCGUCGUCUUCGUUCUUCCUGCAAAAUCCUCUACCCAUCACCCAAAUUUAUACAUAAAAAUAUAUAAUUAAAAAAAAUGGAUGGUGGAGCAAAGUGGUGUUGGCACCACGUGAAAAAAAAAAGGGUGCAUCAGGCACCAUGUGCAAAGAAAAAAAAAAUAUAAUAAUAAUAAAAAUAAUAUAUAUAUAAAUGGAUGGUGCAUCUGGCACCAUGUGCCAGCAAAAAGAAAAAAAAAGAGAGAAAAAAAAAAUGUGUGAUAGUGGUAGUGCCAACAAAAAGAAGAAAAAAAUGAGAAGGGAGUGGUAAUGGUAGUGCCAGCAAAAAGAAGAAAAAAUAAAUAAAUAAAUAAAAUAAUAAUAAACAAAAUGAUGAAAAGGGAAUGGAAUGGUGGUCAGCACCGAAAAAAAAUAUAAUAAAAAAAAAUGAAAAGCUGAGAUUGCACCAUAUGAAAAAGAAUAAAAAAAUAAAAAAAUAAAAAAUAAAAAAAUAAAAAAUAAAAAAAUAAAAAAUAAAAAAAUAAAAAAAUAAAAUAUAAGAAAUGAUAGGUGGGAUGGUGCGGAUUGCACCAUCUGAAAAGAAAAAUAUAUAUAAAAAAAAAUAGUUGGUGGUGCAUGAUUUAAUAAAAAAUAAAUAAAUAAAAAAAAGAAAUAAAAAAAAAUGCAUUGAGAGAAGUAAAAUCCAUUUUAUUUAUUUCUCUGGAAAGAUUACAUAAAAUUGCAUUCUACAUGCAAACAAAAAAAAAAAAAUUUACAAAUGUGCAAGCAGCAAAUAUAAGGGGGCCUUAAUUGAUCAGAUGGCGCCUUAUCACUCGACGGAACUCCGGGAAGAAGAGGAGCCGGAGGUUGAUCAUUUGGAGCUUCAAUACGCGGUACAGCCCCAGAAGACGAAGGCAAAUGCUGUUGGAACAAACCCACAAACCUCUGAUGAUCAAGUAAAAUCGGACCAUCGGAUUCUUGCAUCUGGUCAAUCUUCCUUUUCAUGUUUGUAGCAUAGUUAUGCGCAAGCCUGUGUAACUGUUUAUUCUCAUGCUUGAGCCCUCUAAUCUCUUGUUUUAGACUCAUCACUUCAGCCGCCAAUGAUUCAACUUGACGGGUUCGAGCAAAUAGGCGUUGGGCCAUAUUAGACACAGAACCUGCACGCUGCACACUGAGAGCCAGAGAAUCCUUAACAGCCAACUCAUCAGAUCGUUUGGAAAGCAGUCUGUUAUCUUUGGGAGUGACAAGGUUCCAGGCCACCACCGCAGCGGUCAUAUCAUUAUUCAUCACCGAGUCCCCAACGGUAAGAGGACCAGUAGGAGAUAUGAAGGAUGGGCGCCAUAUGUUGUCUGGAGAAGGCGGGACUGCCUCUUCACCAAGAUUCAAGUCAAAACGAUGGUCGGAGGGUCUAGACAUUUUCAAAGUGUUGAAGAAGUGCAAGAAGGGAGUCUCUACAAGCAAAAAAUUCAAAUGUGCUUUGAAACGAACUGCAUGCCUCUAUAAAAAAUCAACACUCGACGGGAUUUCAGAGAUCGAAGAGGCGAGCUCAGAAUUCGAAGAGGCCAAUUCAAAAAUCGAAGAGGCAAGCUCAGAAAUCGGAAAGGCAUCUUGCUUUUCCAGACGCGUCAACACCUGUCACAUGCACACUCAGCUUGGCGGAAAUUACGGACAAUUUGUCGAAGAUUUUUGAUAAAGAAGAAAGCACGUGAAGCCAUAUUGAUCAAUCACUCAAUGGUUGCCGACAUGAGUGAAAGAAUAGUACCUCUACAGGGAUUAAAGGACUUCCUAUAACUGUCCACCUUCACCCUCCAUACCAAGGCAGACAUACAGAACCUUUCUUCAUCUCCAAAAAUGCUUUCCCAACGAAGCCUCUCGAGUCACUCAGUGUUCCUUAUUCCUUGGGGUACCUCUGUAAGCAAAUGACUCCAAAGCAAAAGUAUCUCAUAUCACCAGGGUAGAAAGCAAGAGUAUCUCAUAUCAUGCUUUUUCCUUGUCCUUGCCUUUGUCCUUGUUCUUACCUACAAAGACAAGGAUAAAGAAAACAAUAUGCCGGAACCUCCACUCAAACUCGGGUAAGGAACCGACUGCUUAGAACCCUUCCCUGAUUGCCUCCCUAGCACUGCUCUCGAGUACUCGUCUCCUACUGCUGCUGUACUUCCAAAAAAGCUGCCACAUCUGCCUGAAGAACAGAUAAGGCAAGUGAAAAUGAUACCUUGCAGCACGUGGAGACAACGUGCAGAAGAAACAAGCAGAGAAGAAUGCAGCCUGCACAGUCAACUCAGCAGAAGGAGUCUGAGAUGAGGAACUCAAGAAGAUGCCCAUCUGCGUGAGGAACAGAUAAAGGAAAUGAAAAUGAUACGUUGAAGCAUGUGGAGACAAGUGCAACAAAGCACGUACUGAUUCAUCCGCUACUUCUUCAAAAUCAAAAGUAUCUCAUAUCAUCAGGGUUGCAAUCACUCUGGACGGUAAACUCAUUUUGACCCUCAAAUUCUUGGGUCGACUUACUAGGCGUUGUGGGCUGCACAUGCCGAUUCACCACCCUUGAAUCAAAUCCUUAAAGAUCAAGUCACCAACUGGAAGAAGAGCCCAUCAAUCUUGAAGAUCAUACCGUUGACUAAACUGCUCAGGUGUGAAUUAGAAAGAUUGAACAAAGCAACAAGUAGUCACAUUCACCUCGUGCCUGUUUGCCAUGUGUUCGAGUCAACCUUCAAGAAUCAAGCCUUAACGGCCCUUGAAGAAGCUUCCAGCCAAAUUCAAGAUCAAGCCUCGACGGCUCUUGAGGAAAUCACAAGUCCGAUUCAACAUCAAGUGUCUACCACCCUUGAAUCAAAUCCAGUUCAAGAAUAAGCUGUGGAAAGUCAACAAUUAGAGGAAACCAGAAAAUCCUCCAACCCAGUUCAAGAAUAAGCUGUGGAAAGUCAACAAUUGGAGGAAUCCAGAAAGUCCUCCAACCUAGUUCAAGAUCAAAGCUAUGGAAAGUCAACAAGUGCAACAAAAUACAUGCCGAUUCAUCCACUACCAAAGCCAAGGAUCAUCUACCACAUGAAACUCCUUGUGGUCCAAUCAACGUUCAAGAGCAAGCCUCAACGGCCCUUGAAGAAAUCUCCAGCCCAAUUCAAGAUCAAGCCUCAAUGGCCCUUGGAUCGACAUCUACAGUAAGGGACUUCAAAACGCAUCUCCUACACGUGACAAGCACAUGUAUACGACGCGCCUUGAAGUGGGGGCAUUUGUAGACAUCGAAAUUUCGGUAAAUAAAUGUUGACCGAUAAAUCAAAGUUUCAACGCUCAUGUAUUACAUAAAUUUUACACGUAGCGUGUGUCUAAACAAAAAAUCGAAAUAAGUUGGAAAAGUCAUCAAACAGGACACGUGUCAACACCUGGCAGAAACGACUUAUUUCAUCUGGAAUAUUAUAUUCAAAAUUAGGCCUUGGAAAAUUCUAUAAAUAGAAGGCUAAUUCAUUUAUUUAAAGGGGGACCAAAUUCAUAUUAGGCAAAAAAAACCUUGAAGCUCUGAAACUUUAAAACUCCGAAUCUCUCAAGCAUCCAGGUUCCCGAAGAAUCAAGAAAGCGUUCUUCGUUCUUUGUUCAUCGUUCUUCCAAGAUCAAGCUCCGACGGCCCUUGGAUUAACAAUCACCAAUUCAAGAUCAAGCCCCGACGGCACUUGAAGAAAGUGUUCUUCGUUCUUCGUUCAUCGUUCUUCUAAGAUCAAGCCCCGACGACCCUUGUAUUAACAAUCACUAAUUCAAGAUCAAGCCCCGACGGCCUUUGAAGAAAGUGUUCUUCGUUCUUCGUUCAUCGUUCUUCCAAGAUCAAGCCCCGACGGCCCUUGGAUCAACAAUCACCAACUCAAGAUCAAGCCCCGACGGCUCUUGAAUAAAGCGUUCUUCGUUCUUCGUUCAUCGUUCUUCCAAGAUCAAGCCCCGACGACCCUUGGAUCAACAACAUCAACAAAUCCACACAUCCAACCGUUCUUCAAGAUCAAGCCCAAAAGCCCUUGAAGAUCCGUUCAUCACCGUUAUUCAAGAUCAAGCCUUAACGGCCCUUGAAGAAACACUCAUCCUCAAUAUCAAGCCCCAACGGCUCCUUAAAGAUCCGCGCAAAUCCACCUUCAAAGAUCAAGCCCACGGCCCCUUGAAGAAACUUCCAACAGUUCAUCCAAGAUCAAGCCUCGACGGCCCUUGGAUCAACGAAACAUCCACAAAUCAAUACCUUACGGAGAUCAAAUCAGAGGAUCAAAAUAGAGAGAGAUUGUAACCCAAAAUCAUCAAAUACAAAUAUUAUUUUGUGCACGUUGUUCUUGUCUCUUUCGUUUCAGGAAAUUUUCAUGUUCACAAUGCGACAUGACAAAUGCACACUUGUAACAAAAAAUAACGCAUUUGUCAUGUUUGUUUGAAUAGGAAAAUGGUUUGGUUUUCUCUAUUUUAAUCAAGAAAUGACUUUUAUGGUUUUAUUUCUAAUUUUUAGAUUGAAUAAAGUUGAACAGAAUGAAAGUAUAGAAUGUAAGAGAAGAACUCUAAUCUUUAGAUUAAAUAAAGUAAAAGAGAAUGAAAAUAUAGAAUGCGGAAGAAGAAAAAAGACAUACAAAACAUGGGUACACUAACUAUUUAUGAAAUUGAACAGAGAACAUUAUUUCUAAAAUUGACUAUUUAUGAAACUGAACACGAGCACACUAUUUCUGAAACUGAUUAUUUAUAAAACUAAACAUGGGUACAUUAACUAAACACGGGUACACAAUUUCUAGAACUAACUACACUAUUUAUAAAACGGACUAUUUAUGAAAUUGAGCACGAGUACACUAUUUCUGAAAUUGAACAUGGAUACACUAUAUCUGAAAUUGACUAUUUAUUAAACUGAACACAAGUACACUAUUUCUGAAAUUGACUAUGUUUGUACCAUACUUGACAAAUCCCGAAACUACUGAGCACCGGUCAACGUUAUACCGUCAAGGAUCGAGAAGAGUUUCCCUCCAACCAGGAGGCCAAUCAUAGCGCGACAUGUGUCAACAUCAGAAGCCAAUCACAACACGACACAUGUCAAUGUCAGAAUGAAACUAGAAACUCUCUUUUAUAAAUAAAGAUCAUUCUCUCACAAUAUUUCUGAAUGUCAUUUGUACUAAAUCAUUCACUAGUACUCACUAAGGGAGAGCUAGAACCUAUGUACUUGUGUAAACCCUUCACAAUUAAUGAGAACUCCUCCACUCUGUGUACGUAGCCAAUCUGGGUAAACCACGUACAUCUUGUGUUUGCUUCCCUAUCUCCAUCCAUUUAUAUACUUAUCCACACUAGUGACUGAAGCAAUCUAGCGAAGGUCACAAACUUGACACUUUCUAUUGUACCAAAAUCCCCACUGAUUUUGUGCAUCAACAGACUAUUUAUGAAAAUGAACAUGAGUACACUAUUUCUGAAACUGACUAUUUAUAAAACUAAACAUGGGUACACUAACUAAACACGGGUACACAGUUUCUAUAACUGACUACACUAUUUCUAAAACUGACUACAUUAUUUGUAAAACUGACUAUUUAUAAAACUGAGUACGAGUACACUAUUUAUGAAACUGAACACGGGUACACUAUUUCUAAACUUGACUAUUUAUGAAAUUGAACCGGAAUAAUACAGAUAAUAUAUAGUACAAUUUAUAUAUAACAAAUAUAGUAUUAUAAUGCAUCAAUUGAAUGAAAUCAAAUUGCGAAUAUAAUUUCAUGGAUUUACAAAUCAAAUGCAACUAAGACUAUUUAUGAAACUAAACCAACACUAUUUAUGAAACCGAGCCCUAAUUAUGAAACCGAAAUAACACUAUUUAUGAAACUAAACACUCUCAAAUGCAAGCUUGUUGGACAUCUCAUUGACCUCUUUCUUGAGAUUGAGAAGUAAUUGCCUCUGGCAAUCCAUAGCUGACUUCUCUUUUAAAUCUCGAU
rnacentral:lncRNA from 1 species